CCAACAUCAGAGAAUGAGAUGAUCUCUCCAGUGUGGUCAGUGCCAUCACCGAAUUCAUUGGAUGCUGCCAGUCCAGCUGUAUGCCAAAAUACAAUAAUUGAUGCUCUGAUACCAAACCUAUAAUACUUGUUUCAUCUACUAUCCAAUAGCACAGAGGCUGCUGUCCAUACACAAGAGAAGCACUUCCCAGCAGACAGCAGAGAAAUAACCUUGAGGGGAACAUUCUCAUUAUUCUUGUAGCCAAGAGUUCAUUAUUCAUCCUAUAUUAAACUCUUGCUAGGUUAGCUGAUAUAUAUUGCUCAAAAUUAAUUAAUUGCAUUCUUGAGAA